rnacentral:lncRNA from 1 species
UUUGUCAACAGAUAUUAUUAAAGGCUUAAAGCCCAAACAAGGUAAACCGAAGGUCCAUUACAACCCAAUUCAUAAACUGAUUUCAACAAAAGAUGAUAACUACAAUAUUAAAGAAAAACGUGGAAACACGUGUUCUCACAGGCGGUCUAUCUUCCAAUCAUCUCUCCGGUAAACUUCUCGGAUGAGACGCAUAAGCUUUACCGCUUCCUUCGAAUCUACCUUGAACUCUUCAUACAAAGCUCGCCGGUUCUUGUAGUUUGAUCUCCGAGUGGUCACUGAUCCUUAAUUCCUGGGAAAACUGAUGGAUCUAAAGACAGAUCAUCUGUCAGGACGUUUCAAAGAAACCCUGACUUUACUUAAUCUGCUUCAAAAUCAACCAGACAAAUCCAACACCUUCGAUUCUUCAACCAAAAGGGAGCAUCUUCCUAUCUUUCUCUUUAGGAAGAAACGAUUACGCCCCCUCGGAUGAGAUCUGGCACUCGGCUAGUACCAGAAGCCAAACACAAGUUCCGGGAUUUAUGGUUAGAUCUUGCAUGAAGGGAAAGUGUCCAAGCAAAUCAGAGAAAGAAAUAGAUUCGUGAACAGUUCUGAUUUGGUUGAACAAAAACACACCAAAAGAUCGCCUAGCGAAAGUGAAAAUCCGCAACCGGAACAGAAGUUCGAUCAACAGAUCGAAUAUUUACAUACAAAAAACAAAAAGAUAAAAUAUGGUAACCGGCAGCGAGAGCCACCGGCUACCGAUCGACGAUGGUGAUUGAAGUUUUCUAGUGAGAAGUUGGAGAGAGUAGAAAGAGAAAAAAGAUGUAUAAUUUUCAAUUAUCCGAUAAUGUAUUUCACUCUUGAUCUAAUAUUAUCAUAUGAAAAAAACCAUCUAUGUGUGUUCACCAAAAAAAAAAAAACGUCCCCACGAUUCAUUUGUGAUUUUGCUGCUCAUCAUGUAUAAAUACAAAUUAUUUUUAGGUUAGAAAUAUGAUUGUUUAAUAUUAGAUAUAUAUAUAUAUAUAUAUUUAAUGUAAGUAUAUAAUUUAUAUUUUACGACAUGUUUUUAAUAUUAUAAUAAUAUUUGGAUCAUAUUUCCAAUAAGAAUCAGGGAAACCGACGAUAAUAUUAAUUAUUAAAAUCAUAAACUAAAUAUAAGAUAAAACUUAAUUAUGAUAUUAUAGAUAUUGCUAAUAUAUAUCUACAAAUUAAAUGUCUUAAAUAUAAUGAUAAGUAUAUUCAUUAUAAUUUUUUUUAAAUAACAGCAUAAAUAUCAGUUGAAUAUGUUAAUGUUUAUUAAUUAUCUUAAAUAUCAUAAUACACAUAUAUAAUAAAAUAAAAGUUUAAGUAUUAAUAUUAAUCACACUAAUGAUUUAUCCUAAAUUUAUAUAAAUAUUUUAUAUCUUAAUUUAAAUUCUGCAAAAGAAAUUCUUAUUUUCAGAUAAUAACAAAAUAUAUCUAUGAAUUAUCUUAUUUUUAAAAUAUGUUUUUAAUAAUUUAUUAUAUUAAAUUAUGAUUAAUUAUCUAACCGGAGAAAUUUUAUGUUUACCACUUUCAUGGUACUAUUUUUCAUUUUUCCACCACUAAAGGAACAUUUUCAAAUCAUACUAAUAUAUAAUAAAUAAAAAAUAAUUUUUUUUAUUGUUUUCGAAUUAUAUUUUUUCAAAUUCGACCUUAUUUAUAUUUUUUUUUUUGAAUUUGUUUUCCGAAUUUUUUUAUAAAAUUUCUUUUUUAAAAUCCAAAAUUAUGUUUGAAACUGUUUUUUAAAAUUUUUUAUAUAUUUUUUAAGUAUUUAUUUUUAUAUUUAUUAGAUCCUAAAUUUCACAUUCCAAAAACUCUAUCCCACCCCUCAACUCUAAACCCUAAGUCUAGAUUAGUUAAUCCUAGGGGGUAUAAGUGUCUUUUACCUUUCAUUAAAAGUGAAGGUAAAAGUGAUUAAUGUAAACAUGAAAAGUGGUACUAUAUGAGAUAUUUGUGGUAAUUUCUCCUUAUUUUUUUAUGUGUAAAAGUUCAUUAAAUUAUGGAAAUUUGUUAAUAUCUAAUGUAAAAAUAUUAUUAGAAAUAUUUAAUAAAAUCAUUGACUCACCUAAAAUUUUGGAAAAUUCUUUAUUAUAUGAUAAUUAAUAAGAUAGUAUCAAAUAUUUGUUAUAUAUGAAAUAUUGUAAUUAUCAUGUUUCCAAAAAGGGUUAUUUUAAAAAUAUAUAAGUAUUUUAAAAAUAUUUAUGAGAAAACAUUAACUAAGCCAAAAGUUAUAGAAAACAUAACAAAUCAAGAAAUUCACUUCUUAAAUAAUAUUACACAAAGUGUUUUUUCCCGCUCAUGCAGACAUAAGCUUCUUAUCAAUACAUAUUAGUUUAUAUCUUAUUAAUUAAAAAAAGACAAUAUGAUAAAUUAUUAUUUAUGUACUUAAAAAAUUUAAAUUAAACAUAAAAUUACUUAUAUAUGACAAAAAAAAAAUCUAUCAAAACAUAUAUGCUUAUUGUUGUGUUGAUAUUUUCAAAAUACUCACAUAUUAAAAAAAAAUUUUAUAGAAAUUUUUUUCCUUGAUUAUUGUUUAAUUAUAAAAUGUUUAUAUCUUAAUUUUUUUAAAUUCUGUAAUAGAAGUUAUUACUUUCAGAUAAUAACACAAUAUAUCUAAAAUUAUCUUGCUUUUUAAAAUAUAUUUUUUGAUAAUUUAUUAUAUUAAAUUAUGAUUAAUUAUCUAAUAUAACAGAUAAGUCUAAUAUUAUAAUAUAAUAUUUUUUAUUAAUAAUAUAAUAAACUUUGUAAGAAAUUCAUUAAGGAUAAUAUUGAUAUUAAUCAGUUAUGUUGCAAAAAAUCACUUCGCAAAUAAUAGAGUGUGUGUAUAUAUAUAUAUAUAUAUAUAUAGAUAAAUUAGCCAAUAAAUUAAAAGUUGUUACGAUUUAUUGUAAACUUAUUUAGAAGCAAAAUUCUCGAUUACGCACUCAUGUUAUAUCAAAUCCAGUUCUCACAAACGAGAUCCAUCCCAUGAUGCAACAUACAACAAUUUUAAAAUGACCAAUACCGAAGCAGACUUAGAACAUGAUUAUCGCAGAUCCUAAGUGGAGGGUUUUAAACAAAAUUUGUGAUUUAAUUAAAUCAAAGAAAAGAAAAGGAGAAUUACCGAUCCUUAAUGGAGUGGUUUGGAAACCGAUUUUUAUGGGAGUUUUAUAACCACGUGUCAGCAUCUCGUUUUUUUGUUUUUUUUUUCCUUUUUCUUUUGUCUCUUCCUUUCUUUUUCUCACGGUUUCUCGAGCUCUUGCAUUCUACCUCAGAGGAGAAGAAUCCAGACCAACGACGGACGAGGACUGUGUCGGUCCAAUCGACGUCUCCUCCGUCUUCUCCGUCAGAAGAAGGAGCGGAACUCACCGCCGACUCUCUCGGUGCUCACCGCAUCUCCUCCGUCUUCUCUCAUCUACGCCGUCAGAAGAAGGAUCGAAAUCCACCACCAAUCGACGAAUCUCUCGGUAUUGAUGGCGUUUCCUCCGACUUGUCUCGUCUUCCACCUAUUCGACAACUCUCUCGGUCAUCACGGCGUCUCGUCCGUCGGUUCUCGUCUUCUCCGACGUGCGACGACUCUAUCAGUCCUCCUGGCGUCUCCUCCUCCGGCAGGCAAUGUCUUCAGUUUGGAGAUCAGCUUCUGGUAAGUAUGUAACUUUCUCACUUUUAUCGUCUGGAUUAGUGUGCUUAAUUGUUGCCCUUUGAUUCAUGCAGAAAUAAUGGUUGAGUAGUUUGACUGUAUUUGUUACAAUAUCGACCCUAAAGCAUGGUUUCAAUACAAAUAUGUAGUGUAUGUUGACUGUGAAUAUCUACAUUUGUUUGAUAUCUGGUUUGUUUUGUUUUUUGCUUGUUUCCUCUGCUAUUAUAUUUCUCAAUUUGUUGACCCGUUCUGUUCUAUGUGUGUAUAUUAUUAAAACGCAAUCAAAUCUCUAGAAGUCAUCUGUAUUGGUGAUCUGAGGUGGAGGGAUUGGUUCACCUGCAUUAUUGUAUCAUGAAGCUUGUGGUGUGGUAUGGUUACAGACUUAUCGAUCAUAAUGUUGUUGAACUCAACAAUGUGCAUAGGCAGGUAUGAUUUUCUUUGAAUGUUUAAUCAUUGGGCAGGUUUUAAGUAACACACAUGCUAAUAAAGUUGCAUCUAGUGCAGAUAAUCACUAUUCGGAAGGAACAUGAGGUUAGGAAGUUGAAUCUCAAAGCCAAGCACGAGGAGAAAAUGCGACAAGCUCAGAUUCAGUUCUUGUGGCUACUCUCAGCCAGUCUCAUCUCAUCUCUUUUAUUAUGUUACUCGGUUUAUUAACUUAAUUGGCUGAUCCAAGAAAGUUUGUGUAACCUUUUAUUAUGUUACUCGGUUUACACAACAUCUUCAUCUUCCAACAACAUGUAUGUUUCAAGUUUCAUUAUGUAUGUUUCAAGUUUAUGUGAUCUGUUCUGUGUGAAAUGUGAGACAAAGAAACUCAAGUUUAUGCAAAGCAAGAGAAGUCACGAGUUUUUGUUCUUGUAUAAUUAUGUAAAUGCUUGUCCUUGUGUUCUCUAUCUCAUGUUCUUGUCUUGGUAUUUCAGGUCCAAAAGAGUGUUCUUGUCUUCUAAGAAUGGCAUUGACAUUGGCAUUGAGACGAUCAAGUAAGGUUUUCUUGUUUAUGUUUCUUCCUCUUGAGUAAGUGAUCUUCCUCAAUUCUUCUAAAAAUUUUAAAUUUUUUUGUAAGAACUUUUAAUUAAGAAACUCCGAUUGAACCACUCAAAAUGAUUAAUGUUUAGUUUGGUAAUGAAAAGCCAGGCGGCGAUGGCGACUGUGACUUUUUCUGCGACAUGAAGAUUGGAUCGAUCAAUGUUGUUUUGGGAAUAUUGGAGGCUCAGAUUGAUGAGGAAAUUGGAUUUUAUGGCUCUACUGAGGAGUUUGGAUUGAAAUCACAAGGGGGAAUAAUGUUUUUUGGGCACAAAAGGACAGGAUCCGAUUGGACUUUUCUGAUGAAGACGAAUCAUGGCAUAAGGAAGGAGGGGUUCCUCGGUUGAUUGUGAUUGUGCCAGAUCUAUGGAUAAGGAAAGGGGAGACGAAUAGAGGGCUCCAAAAUUUAGACAAGGAAGGUGGUGGAAAAGUUUAUGGCCAGUUUGAUUUGAUAGAUCUCUCAAGGUACGCUUGGUUUGAGCUGGGAAAAAGGAUUUUUUUGAAUCAGAUCUCAUAUUUUCUCUAGUGAUUGAAUAGGGUAUUAUUCUGCAAAAUCUUGAUCGAUUCAGUAUUAGAAAGGAGAUACGGACUUUGUUCAUAUAUGUUUAUGUGUUUUGCUUUUUGGAAUUUUUCUGGAUUCCCAAUUAGUUAUACUCUUUACCAUUUUGAGUUUAGAGGAAUCUGGAUUGGGAAUUUUGAAGAUAUAACAUAUCAGAAGGGGGAUAUUAGUACUAUUGUACAGAUAAUAGAGAAUAUUCUCAUAUCCAGUAAUUUAUGCGGAAGGAUAUCUGUUUCUAUUUUAAAGAUUUCAUUGGAAGUCGUUAUGAUUGUGUUUCAAGGCAUAUAUAUACUAGAGAAUGCGUGUUAUGUUUUCAUCAUUCUCAGUUUCUCAGCUUGCUCUGUUUACAAUCCGAUAUCAGAUUCUCAUUUUUCUUUUCUCUCUAUUUUUGGAGAAUUAUGACUCAGGGGCAGUGGAUGGUUAAGUCUGGUGGUAAAAAGGUGCAGGCCCCAAGUAUGGGAUUGAAGAUCUCGAUCCCAAAGUUUGAUAAUUCAGUUCUCAUUACUGAAUACUCAAAAACGUUGAUUGGGAGAUGCAUGAAUCCUUUCAAGCAGGAGAUGAAUGCGCUACUGUUCCAUCUACCAAAGAUCUGGAAUGUCGAUGAGAGAGUGGUGGGCGCGGAUCUGGGCCUAGGACGCUUUCAGUUCGAUUUUGACCAGGAGGAAGACAUUGUUGAGGUGAUGAAGAAGGAGCCCUUUCACUUUGAUAACUGGAUGCUGUCUGUUGUUCGUUGGGAACCGGUGAUGGAGGAGAACUAUCCUUCCAAGAUAACAUUUUGGGUGCGUGUCAUUGGUGUCCCUCUGCACUUUUGGGCUGUACCAACUUUCAAAAGCAUAGGCGAGGCACUGGGGGAGGUCCGAGGAGAUGAUGAUAUUGACAUAGAUGAAGGGAAGGUUCGGGUGAUCAUUGACGCUAUCAAGCCUCUGGUCUUUUUGGUUACUGCAGAGUUCCACAGUGGUGAUGAGUCAACCAUCGCUUUAAGGUACGAGAAACUGCACGGGUUUUGUCGAAUCUGUUCGAGUUUGUGGCAUGAUCAGUUUCCUUGUCCGACGGUGAAGAAGAGUACUGACGAGGAGACUGAGGUGCAACCUCCAAAACCGGAGCAGGACCCAGCCAUGUUAAGCUACAAGGGAGCAGUGGAGUCACAAGGAAGAGAGCUUGGUGGUGAUGCGAAUGGGAAUAACCGAAGGCUAGGCCAUCAAGUCCCGAGAAAUAGGGACUACAAGGGCAAGGGUAUUGCUUUUGAUAACAGCAAAUAUGAGGGCAAUAGUAAGUCGGGGUUUAAGAGGUCGUACAGAGAUCAAGACACGGGCUACUUAAGGAAUCUGAGGCAGACUGGGAGGUUCCCACAAUCAGAGGCUCCAAUGAGGUACGCUAUCGAUACACGGGGUUUAAAAAACAUCAACACUCAAGAGAUGGGGCAAAACUUGGACGAGCAACAAAAGCUUAUGCUAGAUGCCUUUAGGAGCGGCAAGAGUGAAGAGACAAACCAGAUAUCAGACUCCACGGCUCGUAAGGCUCUCAGCUUUGAAGGAAACAUCUCCGGAACUGCUAUGGAAGGAUUGGGUGGUACAGAUGUUGCGAGUGGUAUAGCGGGUGCAAGUGUGGGAGAGGAGGACCCUAAGGCAUUGAAGGAGAAACUCCUCCCUGAAAGACAUGGUGCUGAUAAAGCAGAUGGAUCUUAAUAAAGAGGAGAGUGAGGGAGAGAAGAUUGAGGAGAUGGAGGGUCUGUCUGAAGAAAUAGAUUCAGAGUUAACUGGUGAUGUAGCGCUUACUGAGACAGGGGAGCAGGAUGGCUCAGAGCAUGUGGGUGAUGAGGUUUUUGCAGAGGCUGAUUUCGAUGUGGAGGAGGAUGAUCAACUGAUGGAGACAGAAACCCAGGAGGUCUUGAUUGAGUCUGAAGGCAAGGAACGUGGACGUGCUAAUAAGAAGAAGCAGGGGAAAGUUAAUGGAGCUGCUAUGGGAGGCUCUCUUAAGAAGAGAUUGGUGCAGAGUGUCGUCUCCCCAAGGAAGAAGCAUACUGUUAAGAAGGGCAGCAAGGUGGGGGAGAAGGAUGCACUACCCCCAGAGAAGGCUCCGGUUAAGCAUGUUCCUGAUCAGAACUAAAGUGUUUUUAAGGUCUUAACAUUUAAUGAAUAAGUGUUGGGAAAGAGNNNNNNNNNNNNNNNNNNNNNNNNNNNNNNNNNNNNGAAAGAGUUAGUAAUUCCCAUGAUUUUAUUGUUGUGUCAUUUUUGUUUCCUUGUUAUGAUUUUCCUCUGAAGUCUUCAGGGUGUUGGAAUAAUAAAUUGGAUUUAUCUUCAGUGGUCUAUAGCUUUUCUUUUACGGGGUUAUCAAGGAUGGGUUUUCCUACGGAUUCUUUGUCUUUUGUAAGUUAUGGGGACAUGUAUAUUUAUAUGGCGAGGAGUCAAGCUGAGCAUAGGACUCUGUCUUUCUGGCUUAUGGGGCUCUCAGGUUGUAGACGGCAAUAUAUUGAUAGAGAAACGAGGUAUGUUGGGUUUCAUCAUUCUGUUUUAAAAUAUAAUUUAGAACAAUGUUGGUGGCUAUGGAGUUGUGUUAAUGGGUCUAUUUGGAGCGUUCUAUUUUUGCAGUGUAACGGAAUGUUUCUCUUCUGGACAAGGCAUUUUGCCAUCACGAUAUUUAUUGAGAUUAUUAAGGAACAUCAACUUCUCCAGAUUGUAAUGAAACAUUUGAAUUGGCGCAAUGGGUACUGGCUGGUCUUGAGCUGUAUAAAGAACAUGCUUUCUCCAGUUGAAUAUCAGGUGGUUUGUUUCCUCUGGCUUCUUAUGGUGUGUCUGAGUAAUGGUGGGAUUCAGAUUGAUAUGUGUUAUUGUGAUUUUCUACCUCUUUUGAUACGCUGGCAGUGCACUUGUUUGUAUUGUCCUGAUGAUUCUUUUUUUGCGGGUCUUUUGUGUAGUUUUGAGUUGCGGUGGAAGAGUUUUUUUCAGGGACAGAUGCGCUUGGUUAGCUGUGGAGGAAUAUAUAUUUAUAUGGCAAAGAGUCACACUGAGCAUAGGGCACUGGUAUCAUGGCCUAUGGGGCUCUCAGGUGAUCAUUGGUGCUAUAUUACUAGAGAGAUGAAGUAUGCGUGGUUACUUUUUCUUAUUUUACACUAUAAGUGUGAACAAUAGUGGUGGGUUUGGUUUGGUGUCAGUGGGUCUAGUUGGAGCUGCUGGAUAAGGCUUUUUGCCACAGAGUUUAUUGAAAUUGUUAAGGUUUUUCAACCUUUUAAGGCUGUGAUGGAAUCUUUUAAUUGGUGUACUGUGUUUUGGCUGGUAUUGAGCUGCGCAAAGAAUAGAUCACUUCUAGGAGAUUAUCAUUUGUUUUGUUUCUCUUGGAGGUUUGGGGUGUGCCUGAGCAGUGAUGGGAUUUUGCUUGAUAUGUGUCACUGUGUCUUUUUAUCUAUAUGGAUCCAUUGGUGGUUUACUACUUCGUACUGUCCUGGUGCUUACCUUGCAGAUGGAGGUUGGCACCUUAGGAAGCGUAUGGAAGAUAUGGCACUGCAUAGCUUCUGUAAAACAUAUACGAAUCCAUAUAUGGGACAUCAGUCUAUGGAGUGGAGUAUUUAUGGCAGUUAUGACCUGAGAAAGGACAACUUAAAUUACGCCAAGCAUUACAUUUCGGUUGUGCUCUGGCGAACUUCAAUGUUCUCACCGGCGGUCUAUCUUCCGAUUAUCUCUCCGGUAAACUUCUCGGAUGAGACGCAUAAGCUUUACCGCUUCCUUCGAAUCUACCUUGAACUCUUCAUACAAAGCUCGCCGGUUCUUGUAGUUUGAUCUCCGAGUGGUCACUGAUCCUUAAUUCCUGGGAAAACUGAUGGAUCUAAAGACAGAUCAUCUGUCAGGACGUUUCAAAGAAACCCUGACUUUACUUAAUCUGCUUCAAAAUCAACCAGACAAAUCCAACACCUUCGAUUCUUCAACCAAAAGGGAGCAUCUUCCUAUCUUUCUCUUUAGGAAGAAACGAUUACGCCCCCUCGGAUGAGAUCUGGCACUCGGCUAGUACCAGAAGCCAAACACAAGUUCCGGGAUUUAUGGUUAGAUCUUGCAUGAAGGGAAAGUGUCCAAGCAAAUCAGAGAAAGAAAUAGAUUCGUGAACAGUUCUGAUUUGGUUGAACAAAAACACACCAAAAGAUCGCCUAGCGAAAGUGAAAAUCCGCAACCGGAACAGAAGUUCGAUCAACAGAUCGAAUAUUUACAUACAAAAAACAAAAAGAUAAAAUAUGGUAACCGGCAGCGAGAGCCACCGGCUACCGAUCGACGAUGGUGAUUGAAGUUUUCUAGUGAGAAGUUGGAGAGAGUAGAAAGAGAAAA